rnacentral:rRNA from 1 species
GUAGGUGGCAAGCGUUGUCCGGAAUUAUUGGGCGUAAAGCGCGCGCAGGCGGUUCGUUUAAGUCUGAUGUGAAAGCCCACGGGCUCAACCGUGGAGGGUCAUUGGAAACUGGAGAACUUGAGUACAGAAGAGGAAAGCGGAAUUCCACGUGUAGCGGUGAAAUGCGUAGAGAUGUGGAGGAACACCAGUGGCGAAGGCGGCUUUCUGGUCUGUAACUGACGCUGAGGCGCGAAAGCACGGGGAGCAAACAGGAUUAGAUACCCUGGUAGUCCACGCCGUAAACGAUGAGUGCUAAGUGUUAGGGGGUUUCCGCCCCUUAGUGCUGCAGCUAACGCAUUAAGCACUCCGCCUGGGGAGUACGGCCGCAAAGGCUG